rnacentral:lncRNA from 1 species
AUAGUGUUGGAACAAGACCAAAUGGAGCCAGCGCCAAAAAUCGAAGAGAUUGAACAAUCCAGUGAAAAAAAAAAAAAAAAAAAAAAAAAAAAAAGAUUGGUUUUUGUUUAUCAAUACUAUGUUUGCGGGGACACUGCACAGUUAGGAGUGGGGCUAUGUAGAAUAAGUAGUUAUUUUCAGAAUGUAGAUAUCUAGUGUAUAGUGUAAACAAGGAUAGAUAACUGCUAAAAAGGUGGUUCAGUAGGUAGAAUGGAUGAAUAGUCAAGAAAAGUAGUUAUCAUCUAUAGUAUAGGAAUUGGUAUCUCAAGGUAGUAUAAGGAGGAUGGGAGAGGAGAAGAAAAUGCCAGAUUGCAAUAAUACUGAGCGAAAGAUAAGCUUGGUGCUAUCUCUUCUUCUUAGUUUUCUUGUUUCUAUUGUGUUAGUAUUGAUUCUAGUGAAGAAGAUAGAUUUAAUGAAUCAAUGUUUGAUUUACAAAGUUGUUUAUGGAUCACUGGUUAUCAAUUGUUGUGAAAGAUUGAUGAUGUAUGGAAGUUUCCAACCACUGUUUAUCGCAAGGUUGUAAGUUCAAUGGACAAGAAUUAUAAUCGAAGGAAUUGUCUUGAUCAGAUUCUAUGGAUUGGAAGUUGUUU